GCUGGAGCCUGGGUCCUCUAUGCGGAGACUCUGGUGUGGGUCUUUACAAGAUGGUCAGUGAAUUUCUGAUAAGGAGACUUGGUGAAUACAGUCUCUUUCCAGAGGGGAGGGAGAUGGAGGAGCACACGUCUG